rnacentral:ncRNA from 2 species
UUGAAUACGGGGCUUUAUGGUAUCCAUAGUUUCGCUGGUUUUAAACUAUGGAUUUAAAAGGGAAGAUUGGUGAAAAUCCAACACGGUCCCGCCACUGUGAUGGGGAGUAAAUCUAUUUUAUGCCACUGUUUCUGUUUGUAAGAAAUGGGAAGGCAUAGAUUUACAAUGAUCCUAAGUCAGGAGACCUGCCAUAAAGAACAACACCGU